GUUUAAAAAAUCAUGACCUAGUGUAUCCCUUUCAUCCCACAGAUGAGAAAACUAAGGCUUAGAAAAUGUGGGGGAACCCCUCUGGAGAUUUUCCAAUUUCUGGAAAAUGAGAUCACCCACCCCGCCUCAGGACACUCUUCCCAGACACACAAUCUUAGGGGGGUCAGGAAGGCCCCUAGCCCACCUCUACCAAACUCCCCCAACCACACGAGGCUUACGGUAAGAGUGGCAACUGCUUUUCUACAGAAAUUCUAGAUACAUCUGUGCUGUCCAAUAUGGUAGACACUAGCCACAGGUGACCACUUAAAUUUAGUACCUAUUAAACACAAUUUAAAACUCCCUUCCUCAGUCGACUAGCCACAUUUCAAGUUCUCGACAGCCACAUGCACUGAACAGCACUACUAUUCUAGAGUGUUCUGUAAAAUGCAAAUAACUAUAAGGAAGGUAACCUCUAGCAUCUAACCCCUGAAGGGUUGUCCUUUUCCAAAGCCAGUCCUGGGACAUAUCCAUGACACCCUUGAUGGCUCCCCCUCCAUCCCUCAGCCAAGAGGGUCCAAAAUAUCCCCAGACCACCUCUCUGUCCAGUGGACUGCCAGUGCCAGUGGAGGAGAAAUGAAGGGACCACCCACUGCAUGGUGGCCCCUCACAGCCCUGCCUGGCAGCCUGGGACCCACCCCCUCCCAGAUGCCCCAGAGAUGUGGACCGGCCUGCUCCCCCUGUCUCCACAGCUGUGAUACCACAUCCAUCCAGUCACUGAUACCAGAACCUGGUGUUCCCUCCACCCCUUCCCUCCUAGGCUUCCUGAACCUCAUGACUCUGCUUUCUAACCAUGCCCAGACACUGUCCUGUCCCCUCUCUCUGCCUUUACUGCCUCAGCAACUCAGGCUCCCCCUUUUGCCUGGACAGCGAUAGAGCAGGAGCCCCCAGCUCUUCCUCCUCUCAGCCACCAUUCCCCAGAGCGAGCUUCUAAAACACUUAGGCGAUCACGCCCCUACUGAGGGGUGCCCUCCCUGCCCUGCACCCCACCACCCAGUUCAAAUCCAAGCUUCCACACAUGCUGGAUGAGGUCCUGCCUACAAACCUGCUGCUUCUCACCUGCCCUGGAGUGCUGAGGGCUGCUGAUUCCCAAUGCUCUUCACACCCCUGGGCCCCGGGUCCCUGCCUGGAACACACCUGCCGCGUCCCCCUGCUUCCUCUGCUUCAGCUGAAUCUCCAUCUCAGAUACGGUCCCUCCACCACCCCCCACCCCAGACUCCCAGGGCCCUGCGUGGGCCUUCGUAGGAGCACAGAGCACGUUGUCCUACACCAGCUAGUUACGGCUUUGUGGACUCUCUAGCCUGGAAGUUCCUUCAGAACAAGAAUGUCGUCGUGUGCCUCCUUGCAUGGUCCAGCCUGGCUCCUGGAAGGGCUUCUAGAAGGACUGCAGCGAAACCAGAGCCCCCUGUGAGAUGGCACUGUUCUCUUAUACUUGACAGAUGAGAAAAUGUCACUGGGGGAAGUGGAGACACGUGCUCAAGGCCUGCCACCCCAGCCCUGCCCCACGGGCACACUGGGCCAUUCGGAAGGGGGAGGGAGGAUCUGCUCCUUGCUAGACACGCCCUCCUUCUGAGUUCCUCUAAUUCCGAACUCAUGCCUGCUGGUUCCGAAUCUCUGAACAACAGACGCAGAAGCCCAAUGCUACAAAGGGAAAAGUCCCUCCUCACCUGUCUCCUCAGUCCUACUCAGCCAAGCUGACUACCUUGUAAUCUCUUUGUGUGAGGGAUUCCUGAGAUUUGACAGUGUAGCUAUACCUAUAAAUAUUUACACACAU